AUUGAACGCUGGCGGCAUGCUUUACACAUGCAAGUCGAACGGUAACAGGCCGCAAGGUGCUGACGAGUGGCGAACGGGUGAGUAAUGCAUCGGAACGUGCCCAGUCGUGGGGGAUAACGCAGCGAAAGCUGCGCUAAUACCGCAUACGAUCUAUGGAUGAAAGCGGGGGAACGUAAGGCCUCGCGCGACCGGAGCGGCCGAUGUCAGAUUAGGUAGUUGGUGGGGUAAAGGCUCACCAAGCCAACGAUCUGUAGCUGGUCUGAGAGGACGACCAGCCACACUGGGACUGAGACACGGCCCAGACUCCUACGGGAGGCAGCAGUGGGGAAUUUUGGACAAUGGGCGCAAGCCUGAUCCAGCAAUGCCGCGUGCAGGAAGAAGGCCUUCGGGUUGUAAACUGCUUUUGUACGGAACGAAACGGCUCUCUCUAAUACAGGGGGUUAAUGACGGUACCGUAAGAAUAAGCACCGGCUAACUACGUGCCAGCCGCCGCUGUAACAC
rnacentral:rRNA from 1 species